GGAAGAAAUGGAGUGCGACAGACUCCUUGAUUUUUGCUUGGCUGCUGAACUCUUUGACCCCCUGUAUUGUUGCUUCAGCUGAGGGGCUUCCAAAUGCUGCGGAGGUUUGGAGUACUUUGUCGAAAAUGUACUCGGGAAAGGGAAAUCUGAUGCUGAUGGCGUAGAUUGAGGAUGCUGUGCACGAUUUGCGUCAAGGUGAGAAGGACCUGAUGGUGUAUGUGGCUGAGUUGCAGCGUCUCUGGUCUGAUUUGGAUCACUGUGAUCCCCUAGAGCUUCCUCAUUCAGAGUGUGUGGUGACUGUUAAACAAUAUGUGGAACGCCGCCGUGUGAUGAAGUUUCUGAAGGGGCUGAACUCCUAUUUUGAGAGCAGACGUGCUACCUUACUGCACCAGCCCAAGCUUCCUUCCCUUGAUGAAGCUAUCUCAGCCAUGUCACAAGAGGAGGUCCGUCUAAAAUCUGCUGGACGCAGCGAACAGUCUCUGCAAUCUGCCUUUGCAAUGACAACAAGGAAUGAAACAAGAGACUGUUUUACCUGUGGAGAAUCAGGGCACUUGAGCAGAUUCUGUACUUCAUCAAUAAGGGGAAGAGGAAGAGGAUACAACUACAGAGGUGGCGGUUACAACCACAGAGGUGGUCGUGGUUGGGUUGGCAACAACAACAGAGGUGGCCGUGGCUGGCCGGGUUGCUGGUCCUUGGCAUGGAGAAGGGGCUCAUAGGGCAAAUAUGGCUGCAUCAAGUGAAGGCAAACAACCUGUAACCAGAGAGCCUAGAGAGGGAUCAGAAGCUACUACUUCAAGCUUUGGCAACUUCGCCAACUUUGUCGACACCAAUAAAGGAGAGGGUGACGAGCAGGAAGCUUGGGACUGGGACCAGGCAUAGCGGACUGUGGUACAUGGACCGCAGCGUGCCAAGCGAGGAUGGGAAUCAAGGACUAGUGGUUGUCACUGAAGACAAGGAGACUAGAGCUCUAAUCCAUCACUGUCGAAUGGGACAUGUCUCUUUUGACAAAAUGUAUCAAAUAUUUCCUGAUUUAAUGAGGGGUGUUGACAGAAGCAAGCUCAAGUGUGAUGCUUGUGAGUAUGCCAAACAUACUAGAACCUCUUAUGUGAGUAAGGGGAUCAGAAGUAUCUCUCCGUUUGUGUUGGUUCAUUCUGAUGUAUGGACAUGUCCAGUGGUAUCUAUAAGUGGCGCAAAGUAUUUUGUAACCUUUA